AAGUAUUAAUUUAAAAUUUGAUGAAUAGGGAGUUUUGAUUUAAUUGAAAUAACAUUAAUUAUGUAUGUUUUAGUAUAGUAAUAGAACAAAUUUAUUUAUUUAUAGUGGAGUAGUACUGUGAAGGGAAAUUGAAAAAAGUUGAAAAUAAAUUUUUAGAAAAGUAAAUUAAUAUUGUACCUUGUGUAUCAGGGUUUAUUAAAAUUGGAAUAGAGAUUUAUUUUUCCCGAAUUAAAAAGAGCUAAUUUGUUAUGUUGGUUAGUGUGGUACUAUUAUCAAGAAUAGCAAGUUUGUAAUGAAAUAUUAGUCGGUUUUUAAGAUAUCUGGUUCUUCAAGAAAUGAAUUUAAUUCAGUAUUUAAUAGUA
rnacentral:rRNA from 1 species